rnacentral:miRNA from 7 species
AUAUCCUUCUUUCUUGUCUUUUA